AACUGUGAGACAGGUGCUGCAUGGCUGUCGUCAGCUCGUGCUGUGAAGUGUCGGGUUAAGUCCCUUAACGAGCGCAACCCCUAUCGUUAGUUACUAACGCGUUAUGGCGAGGACUCUAGCGAGACUGCCGGUGUCAAACCGGAGGAAGGUGGGGAUGACGUCAAGUCCUCAUGGCCCUUAUGGGCUGGGCUACACACGUGCUACAAUGGCGAUGACAGAGGGUCGCAACCCAGCGAUGGGGAGCUAAUCUCUAAAAGUCGUCUCAGUUCGGAUUGUUCUCUGCAACUCGAGAGCAUGAAGUUGGAAUCGCUAGUAAUCGCAGAUCAGCAUGCUGCGGUGAAUACGUUCCCGGGCCUUGUACACACCGCCCGUCACACCAUGGGAGUUGGUUUUACCUGACGCCGGUGGGCUAACCAGUUUACUGGAGGCAGCCGACCACGGUAGAGUCAGCGACUGGGGUGAAGUCGGAACAAGGUAGCCGUAGGGGAACCUGCGGCUGGAUCACCUCCUU
rnacentral:rRNA from 1 species